rnacentral:rRNA from 2 species
AGACCCGAAACCCGGUGAUCUAGCCAUGGGCAGGUUGAAGGUUGGGUAACACUAACUGGAGGACCGAACCGACUAAUGUUGAAAAAUUAGCGGAUGACCUGUGGCUGGGGGUGAAAGGCCAAUCAAACCGGGAGAUAGCUGGUUCUCCCCGAAAGCUAUUUAGGUAGCGCCUCGUGAAUUCAUCUCCGGGGGUAGAGCACUGUUUCGGCUAGGGGGCCAUCCCGGCUUACCAACCCGAUGCAAACUGCGAAUACCGGAGAAUGUUAUCACGGGAGACACACGGCGGGUGCUAACGUCCGUCGUGAAGAGGGAAACAACCCAGACCGCCAGCUAAGGUCCCAAAGUCAUGGUUAAGUGGGAAACGAUGUGGGAAGGCCCAGACAGCCAGGAUGUUGGCUUAGAAGCAGCCAUCAUUUAAAGAAAGCGUAAUAGCUCACUGGUCGAGUCGGCCUGCGCGGAAGAUGUAACGGGGCUAAACCAUGCACCGAAGCUGCGGCAGCGACGCUUAUGCGUUGUUGGGUAGGGGAGCGUUCUGUAAGCCUGCGAAGGUGGCCUGUGAGGG